UACGUAGGGGGCUAGCGUUAUCUGGAAUUACUGGGCGUAAAGGGUGCGUUGGUGGUUUCUUAAGUCAGAGGUGAAAGGCUACGGCUCAACCGUAGUAAGCCUUUGAAACUGGGGAACUUGAGUGCAGGAGAGGAGAGUGGAAUUCCUAGUGUAGCGGUGAAAUGCGUAGAUAUUAGGAGGAACACCAGUUGCGAAGGCGGCUCUCUGGACUGUAACUGACACUGAGGCACGAAAGCGUGGGGAGCAAACAGG
rnacentral:rRNA from 1 species